CGACGUAAGAACUUGCCUCACAGCUAGGGACAACAUUUAGAAAUGAAUGCUAAUACCUGAUAUUAUGAUUUUAAGGCAUCUUUAGUAAUUAAGUGAAAGCUAUAAGCACUGUGAGAGAGCUUUGCGUCCCAUUAGCUAGUUGGAGAGGUAACAGCUCACCAAGGCGAUGAUGGGUAGCCGGCCUGAGAGGGUGAACGGCCACAAGGGGACUGAGACACGGCCCUU
rnacentral:rRNA from 1 species